rnacentral:lncRNA from 1 species
CGGCCGGGAGCGAGCCGCCGUGACGUCACGGGCCACCCGCCAGCCCCGCGCUCUACCAGGCAGAGCGCGUGUGGCCGCCGAGCACAUGGACCCACUGGUCAAGCGGGCUCGGCAAGGCCAGGAUGAAGAGAAGCUACGAACUUAGCAUUCCCAGAGCCCCCCGAGUGGAUAUCCGCGUGGAAAGGAUGUUGGCAGCCCCGGUGACCUCGGAGUCACGGCUGGAUCCACCCUCUUGUCUGAUUUUCUUAACUCUACUACGGUAAGAAGAUGCCCUCCAUCAGCAGGCCGUGUCUGCUGGGACCUCUCUGGAGACUUCCUGAACCCUGUGGAUUUACAGUAAGAUGCAGUUUCCUGGGGAGUAAUUCUGGUGGAUACAAAUUCCGGAGUAUUACACCUGGCUUGCCUGGAGAUGUUACAAGUAGCUGGAUGGAUUCUUCAGCCUGGAUGCCCACUGAAAACAAGGACCGAAACUAAGAGGAUUGUAUCUCUACCCUUGACUCAAUGAGAAUGUUUGUUGUCAUCUCUCGGGCUACCUGGAGCUCCCUCUAAAAUGUAAGCCCCUAAGACCCAUCUCCUUUCAAUGCAGUGUUUCUGGUAUGUUCCUGUCUUUACACCAAGCUGUCCUGGAUGCUGGUUGAGGGCUGUCUGUUGAUGUGGCUGCUAGGAAGAGAUCUGCUGUCUUCCGUGUCUGUCUAUGUGUCUGGUAUGACGCUGGGCGCCUGUGGGAGAAAGACAAAAAAUAGAAGUUGUUCGAGUUAAUGUUU